UUAAAGGAUAGUGAUGGUAAUUUACAAAAAUUAUGGAGUCAGUCGGAAACCAUGGCAACAAUUGGUUACCAGCUAAAAUAAAUUUACCAGAUACUUCAGGACAAAUAGUAAUAGAAGGGUACAGAGGAGCAGAUAUACAUGGCGAUAUAGCAAUAGACGAUAUUGUACUGGUUCGUAAUUGUGGUCCUUAAUGUAAGUAUCAGUUGAAUUAAAGGAAGUUCGCCACUCUAAAUUUUGACCUUUUGUCAGAAAAAUUGGCGUCCUCUAGUUGUAUCCAUGUAGAUGCAUUACAUAAAGGCAACAGUAGUAUACCGCUGUUCGAAAUUCAUAAAUCGAUCUAGAAAAAUACAAAUCCGGAUUACAAACUAAAACUGAAGGAAACACAUCAAACAUAAGAGGAGAACAACGACACAACAGAAUCACUAAAAUGCAACACACAUAGAAACGAAUUAAAACAUAGCAAUUGCCAUUUUCCUGAUUUGUUCAGGACAUUUUAAGAUAAAAAUGGUGGAUUAAACCUGGUUUUAAAGCUAGCAAAACCUCUCAUUUGUAUGACAGUCGCAACAAAAAGUAUUAUAUUAACAACGAUGUGUUAACAAAACAAAAAUACACAAUAGGUAAACAUAUCAGUGCCACAUGGUGACCAAGAUCUGCUAAUCCUUCCGGAGCACCUGAGAUCAUCACCAGUGUUUGAUGGGAUUCAUGUUGCUGUUGCUUUUUAACGAUUGUUUGUUACUAUUUUCAGGUUUGAUAACAGGUAUGAUAGGUUGUGGAUAUCGAUGAGACGUACUAUACAUUGCUAUAUUGGGAAAAUGAUGUUCAUCUGAAGUUGCCUAAGUUUUAAUAACUGGUUUUGUUUUUGUUUAUUCAGUGGUGUGCAUGG
rnacentral:lncRNA from 1 species